GGAUUGUGGCUCAGCGGUAGAGCGCUUGCCUAGGACGUUCGAGGCCCUGGGUUCUAUCCUCAGCACCA
rnacentral:tRNA from 1 species